ensembl:lncRNA
GUAUCAUUGCACUCAUCCAUAUGCUGGCGUACUCCUUAAAAUUGUAACAUUAGCUCUAAGCAAAUAUACACAUUUUAAAUCUCUUGGAAAAAAGAUAAAAAUAUUGAUCUCAAGGUCCUUGAAAAUUCUGUAAAUGUCUGUAAUAUAUUUCAUUUUAAUUCAUGAUGAGCGUGUGUGUGUGUGUUGUUCUUCAGGUCUGGAUAGUUUCUGCUGGUUUGAUCAGUCUGAACCCUGUUACGCAGCUCUGGGAAAUAACCUCAAUCUGCCGAUGGAGCGGGACGCUCAAGAAUAUGAGCUGAAGAUAAUAAAGAGAAUAAACAACAACAUACAAGAUGAUCCAGUUUGUAGAGUAAAAUAUGGCAGGAUAAGGAUGAGGGAAUGUGAUCUUUAUAAUAACAGACCUGAAGUGACAGUCAUUAAUGGCUUUCUGAUAAUAAACCGUGUGAUCAGAGCAGAUUCUGGGAAUUACAGAUUAACAGUCUCUCGUUCAGGUGGCACAGAAACAUCUAGAGAUCUUCAAGUGAUUGUUGAAGCUCCUAUUGGCUCAGUGGAAGUGUCAAUCAUCUGCUCCUCCAGUGGGGUGAUGAGGGUGUUCUGCUCCUCUGAGGGGGAUCAGCUCCUCUACAACUGGACUCUGAAUGGAGAUCCACUGAUGGAUGGAAACAGCAGCAUUGAUCUGGAUGAGGGAACUGAUGGAGACAUCAGCUGCAGCGUGAAGAACCACGUCAGUCAAGCACAGAAGACUAUUAGACUAGUCUGUCCUACUGGACCAACUACUGCAGCUGUGACCUCUAGUUUGACCUCUACGUCGACACAGACAUCAGAAUAUGGUCUGGAAGUAAGAUGCAGUUUUAAUCAAUCUGAUCCCUGUUACGCAGCUCUGGAACACAAACUCAAUCUGCUGAUUGAGCGGGACGCUCGAAAAUAUGAUCUGAAGAUAAUAAAGAGAAUAAACAACACACAAGAUGAUCCAAUUUGUAGAGUAAAAUAUGGCAGGAAAAAGGAAUGUGAUCUUUAUAAUAACAGAAUUGAAGUGAAUAUCAUUAAUGCGACUGUGAUAAUAAACCGUGUGAUCAGAGAAGAUUCUGGGAAUUACAGAUUACUACUCUUUCACUCAGACGGCACAGAAACAUCUAGAGAUCUUCAAGUGAUUGUUGAAGCUCCUAUUGGCUCAGUGGAAGUGUCAAUCAUCUGCUCCUCCAGUGGGGUGAUGAGGGUGUUCUGCUCCUCUGAGGGGGAUCAGCUCCUCUACAGCUGGACUCUGAAUGGAGAUCCACUGAUGGAUGGAAACAGCAGCAUUGAUCUGGAUGAGAGAAGAGAUGGAGACAUCAGCUGCAGCGUGAAGAACCACGUCAGUCACGCACAGAAGACCAUUAGACUCAAACCCUGUCCUGGUGAGAUCAUGUCUGUUCAUCUACAGAUAUCUUUUCUGUGAAUCAGAUGUCAACAUCAUAUGUCUACCAAAAUAUCUAAUGUCAUUAUUAAAACAAUUGUGCUGAAGAGUUGUAAUACAAUGUCUCUUUUCAGCUAUAGAACAUAUUUAUUAUAAUUUCUAUUGUUCUGUGGUAUGCAAUUAUUUUUAUGUAAACAUACAGCUUUGAAGAAGAUCUGACACCCACAUUACAGAUCCACAUCACUUCAAAUUAUUUAAGUUAUUUCAGAGUCCUCACAACAGCAAUUGAACCAAAACCCAAAAAAGAGACUGAACAAGCUAAAAAAUGACUAAUAGGAGAAAAAAAAUCCCACUGAGUUACAUUCAUUAUCAUCUACAUAAAGCACUCUUUUUUUAUUAUUCUGCUUUCCCACACAUACAUACUGUACAUACAAACACUCGCACACAUGGAGUUGACGUUCUCAAAAAAUAGCUCACAACCAAAAAACUAGAAAAGAUGUUUCUCACUAGUGAGGUAAAAACAGGGCUGUUCUUGAAGCAGAUAAACUUACACUUUCACUAUUAGUAGAGACGCUGCUGUCGGACACUGUUGAGAGACGCACAGAUGCAGGUAAUUCACACACACA